GGCUGAAUGGCUCAGUUGGUUAGAAUAUGGUGCCGAUAAUCCCAAAGUUGCAGGUUCAAUCCCUGUAUGGGACA